rnacentral:rRNA from 1 species
AUUGAACGCUGGCGGCAGGCUUAACACAUGCAAGUCGAGCGGGGACUUCGGUCCUAGCGGCGAACGGGUGAGGAAUGCUUGGGAAUCUGCCCAGUAGCGGGGGAUAACGUUUCGAAAGGAACGCUAAUACCGCAUACGCCCUACGGGGGAAAGGGGGGGAUCUUCGGACCUCUCACUAUUGGAUGAGCCCAAGUCGGAUUAGCUAGUUGGUGGGGUAAAGGCCUACCAAGGCGACGAUCCGUAGCUGGUCUGAGAGGAUGAUCAGCCACACUGGACCUGAGACACGGUCCAGACUCCUACGGGAGGCAGCAGUGGGGAAUAUUGGACAAUGGGCGAAAGCCUGAUCCAGCCAUGCCGCGUGUGUGAAGAAGGCCUUCGGGUUGUAAAGCACUUUAAGCGAGGAGGAAAGGCUGAGGGUUAAUAACCUUCAGCAGUGACGUUACUCGCAGAAUAAGCACCGGCUAACUCUGUGCCAGCCGCCGCCGUAAAAC